GAUGAACGCUAGCGGGAGGCCUAACACAUGCAAGCCGAGCGGUAUAGAAUCUUCGGAUUUUAGAGAGCGGCGUACGGGUGCGGAACACGUGUGCAACCUACCUUUAUCUGGAGGAUAGCCUUUCGAAAGGAGAUUAAUACUCCAUAAUAUAUUGAUUGGCAUCAAUUAAUAUUAAAAGCUCUGGCGGAUAGAGAUGGGCACGCGCAAGAUUAGUUAGUUGGUGAGGUAACGGCUCACCAAGACGAUGAUCUUUAGGGGGCCUGAGAGGGUGAUCCCUCACACUGGUACUGAGACACGGACCAGACUCCUACGGGAGGCAGCAGUGAGGAAUAUUGGACAAUGGGUGCAAGCCUGAUCCAGCCAUCCCGCGUGAAGGACGACUGCCCUAUGGGUUGAAACUUCUUUUGUAUAGGGAUAAACCUCUCCUCGUGAGGAGAGCUGAAGGUACUAUACGAAUAAGCACCGGCUAACUCCGUGCCAGCAGCCGCGGUAAU
rnacentral:rRNA from 1 species